rnacentral:lncRNA from 1 species
GCUAUCUUCCAUAUAUGAUCAAAUCUUUUCUUAUAAAGGCCUAUAUUGGUCUUCUUGUCAUAUAGCUUAAAAUAGUGUUCAGCCAGGUUUUCUUAUCUUUUCCAGAUGAGGUAAUAAUAUCCAACUUUCUCUCUAAUAUAACUAUUUGUUUUGUUCGAAAAAAAUUUCUAUCUAGUAAUGUCCACUCAAAAUUCUUAUGUUGGCAACACUUGGCUUAAUGCUCAAAGUUGAGUUGAGUAUCAAUUUUGCCUCCUUCAGAAGUGGAAAAGUCUUCCACUCUUGAAGAACGCAAAAUUGAUUUUGACAUGUUUGGUUGUUUUAUAAUUGAUUCUGCCUUGAAGCUAGAAUUUGGAGUUUUUGCCUCUACAGCUGAUUUUUGGCCUUCAAUGUUAAACUCCCUUUUACAUGCAAGGAUUCAAACAUAAAUACAUGUUCAUUCAACUCAAUUUUACUCAUAAUCAAUUCAUUCAAAAUCAAUUUUUUUGUCACCGCAAAACCAAACACAAAGCAUUGUUGGUAUUAUGACUGUUUCAUGAAAAAAUGUUAUACACUCCCUAGAAUAUUAGGACUAAUAUUAUGGUAUUUGCCUAUUAGGAUAGUGUGAUUAUUAGAUCUCACAGUAUUACCCUAUCAUUCUGAGUUCUAUUUUCCUCUUUUGGUCCUCUCUUUAUCCUUAUUACCCUAUAUUACCCUAUAAUUUCAAUGAUAACAAAAGGAGAGUCUCUUCUUUUCAGAUAUGUAGCAGCAAAGUUUCUUAUCUCUAACCACAAUAGAGAAUACCACACAGAAAGAUAAAAAACAUGCAAUGCAAGAUGUAGUGCAACCAAAGACAAUAAAAGUGGAUAGAAAAAUUACGUUGUUGCAUCUGCCGCUGCGAUGACUCUUGUUCCAUCCCCACCUGGAGCAAAUUGACCAAAAUACUGUCACCAUGUUAUUAUCAAUUACUGAGAUUAAAUUAGUCAAGAGUAAUCAAGAGUUCGAGACUCAUGAAACCACAACUCUCAUAUUUUCUAUAUCCAAUUCUCCGUCCCUUCCACAUUUCCGUGCACACCAACAAGCUUAAUAAUAUAAUAAGUUCUAAAUUAGAACAUAACAUAUAGCAACGGCAUCUAGCAUUCGUAAGAUAUACAGGUACAGAACAUCGAAUUUUUAGCUACAUUGUUUAUGUUGAGUCCAAUGAGACAGUGCCAUAAGAAAUUCAAUCUCGAAGUUUGUCUACGAUGUAUUCUUUUACAUUUAAAUUUCUUGUAAAGUCUUUACUUUCCUAACUUUCUUUACUUUAUCACUCUUUUCUCUAUAUCAAAGUUCAUGGCCAGGCUUUACUUACCUUGCGGCUGAACUCUGGAUUAUCGGGGGGGAAUUCCCCUGGGAACCAGAGGGUUAAUACCAAAAAAAAAAAGUUCAUGUGAUUCAUAGUUCAUGCAUGUGUUCCAUUCUCUGUUUCUAUUUAUGUGCAAGUUGUCAAUAUUGAAUCUACAACCCAUUCUGACUUACCACAUUUUUAAUCUGUCCAGAUUAAGGAUGGAAAACACCAGAACUCGUGGAUACCGCAUAGGUUACUCGCAAUGCAGGGGGAAAUUGAUAUCAUGUACAAUAAUAUGGCCUGAAGAUUUUAUCAUAACAAUAAUUCCAUUUUAUGGUGGACUAUAAUUGGCUUUACUUUUAAGGAAACCAUGUUAAAUACUAAUGAACUUUGAUAUAAUUAAACUUUUCAAAGUUGGAUAAAAUAUAAUCCUAACUGAAAUAACUAAAAUUUAUAACUGUCC